rnacentral:lncRNA from 1 species
AUAAAAGAGAACAGAUUUCUUAUUAGAAAGAUGACAUUUAUAAAUACCAGCCCCUUUGGGUGAAGUUACAUUUAAGCUGGAUGGCUCAGACAAUAUUAAAAUUGAGAUGAGGCUUUAUUUCUGAAGUUCUUUACUUCUGAGGAACCUGAGACUCUUUCAGAGAAGCAUGAAUUAAGUCUCACAGCAGUGGUGUGCAUGAAGCAGUGAUUAUUCUUCAUUUAGUAGAAGGGGUAUACAAAUGCAAAGAGGUCACGUGAGUUGUUCGAGGGCGUACAGGAAGUCUGUGGCACAGCACAGAAAUAGAAUCCAGACCUCUUGACUCCUAGACUUGUACUUCAACCACAACUCAUCCUUCUUCCCCUAAACAGUCAAGAAGUUGAAAGCCAAGCAGCAUCAAGUCAAACAUCUGAUCGAUGCUAGUCUUAGAUUUGUGUUUCAACCUAAACAUAUGACCCCUAAUGGAGCAGCAGACACGUCAUCUUACAUGCAGAGUGCAUCGAUUUGUGUUCAUGGUAUGAAGAUCUCUGGAAUAAUGAAAAAACUGGAAAUGACUCACAACACAGUGAAAAUUUGUGAGUGAAA